rnacentral:tRNA from 1 species
AAUUAAUGAGCUUGUACAAGCAUAUGUUUUGAAAACAUAAUAAAGAAAUUUAAAUUUUCUAUUAAUUU